CCCUCAGCCAAGGCCUCCCGCCUCUCGCUGCCGCUGCCGCCUCUGGCCCUGCGGCCUCUCCCGCUGCGCUGGGGCGCGGCCGAUGCGGCCCGGGGAGCCCCGGACGACCCCGACGAGGACGCGGAGGACGCGGAGGAGGCUCCGGAGCCCGAGGGGGCCUCCCCGGGGCCCGUCCCGCUCGUGGUUUCCACCUGGACCGGCCGCGGCCUCCGCGGCCUCCUGAAACCUCCGCGGCGCCCGCCGGAAGUGGGACUGAGCUCCAACCGGAAGCGCAAAGCGGUGUCGUUCUUCGAUGACGUCACCGUGCACCUCUUCGAUCAGGAGACGCCGACCAACGAGUUGAGCGGCCAGAGCGCCCCCGAGGGGCCCGCGGGGGUGGCGCCCCCUGAUGGCCUGGCCGCCGUGGAGAACUGAGCCCCGGGGGUGGGGGAGGGGCGGGGCACAAGCCCCUCCCCCGAAGCCACGCCCCCUCAACAAACCCCUCCCCCCCUCUCGAGGCCCCGCCCCCUCCGGAAUUGGGGGUGGGGGAGGGCCAAUAAAAAUUCCAGGGAUCCUGGA